AACUCAUAUUUUGUCUUUUUGCUUUUGACAGCAGGAACACAUUUUCCCCCUUAGCCCUGAAGAGCAUGCAGACCAUUGUUAGCAAGGAAGCUAGCUUGUGUUUUGCACCAGAGGAAAGCUAAGGGAACCUCCUAAAAUGCCAUGUACGGGUAGAGAAGAGAUCAUGGUUGAUAACAACAAACAAAAAGGAUGGCUAAAAAGUGUUGUAUAGUCAAGAUGAGCAAAUGCUAAAGCAAAAUCAAACCAACUGCUGAGGAAGUCUGGCAUUUCACUAAUGGACAUAACACAAUUCUGGGAAGGCAUUACAUAUUAUACUUGCAUGACUCAGGAUUUAUUCACCAAUGCUACACAUUUAGCACCAGGAAAAAUCAGCAAACAUAUGUCCUACUUUAGAUUGAAUGGAUGCAUUAGUAUAAAUAUGUUCUCAUUGGUGAGUAGGCAUGCUCAUGCCAAACAGAUAUACUUUCAU
ensembl:lincRNA